GCCGCGGUAGCUUAGAUGGUAAAGGCGUCGCCAGUAUAGAUGACGUAAGUCGCAGGUUCAAAUCCUGCCUACGAUG